AUCCUUUUCUGGCAGGGGAGAGAGAUACCAUAAUGAUGAAGGUGGUUUUUCCAGGGUGAGGCUCAUCCAUUGCAGUCUGGAUGUACUGUUGACCCCUGAUUUCCCCAAAUAUGGGAAAAUACAUAAUUUGUGGUAGUGGGGGAAUGUGAUGACACUCCACCCUU